GGCGGGGGAUAACGUUCCGAAAGGGACGCUAAUACCGCAUAAGACCACGACGUCUUUGGACGAUGUGGGAAAAGGUGGCCUCUUCUUGAAAGCUACCACCGGAGGAUGAGCCUGCGUCCCAUCAGCUAGUUGGUAAGGUAAUGGCUUACCAAGGCGAAGACGGGUAGCUGGUUUGAGAGAAUGAUCAGCCACACUGGCACUGGAACACGGGCCAGACUCCUACGGGAGGCAGCAGUGAGGAAUAUUGGGCAAUGGGCGAAAGCCUGACCCAGCCACGCCGCGUGAGUGAUGAAGGCCUUCGGGUCGUAAAGCUCUGUGGAGAGGGACGAAAACCCUGGUUUCAAAUAGGCUCCAGGCUUGACGGUACCUCUUUAGCAAGCACCGGCUAACUCUGUGCCAGCAGCCGCGGUAAUACAGAGGGUGCAAACGUUGCUCGGAUUUACUGGGCGUAAAGCGCGUGUAGGCGGGUUCGCAAGUCGGACGUGAAAGCCCUGGGCUCAACCCAGGAACUGCGUUCGAAACUGCGAAUCUAGAGUAGUGGAGAGGAAAGUAGAAUUCCCGGUGUAGAGGUGAAAUUCGUAGAUAUCGGGAGGAAUACCAGUGGCGAAGGCGGCUUUCUGGACACUUACUGACGCUGAGACGCGAAAGCGUGGGGAGCAAACAGGAUUAGAUACCCUGGUAGUCCACGCUGUAAACGAUGUGUGCUAGGUGUCGCGGGAUUUGACUUCUGCGGUGCCGUAGCUAACGCGUUAAGCACACCGCCUGGGGAGUACGGCCGCAAGGCUAAAACUCAAAGGAAUUGACGGGGGCCCG
rnacentral:rRNA from 1 species